GAUGAACGCUAGCUACAGGCUUAACACAUGCAAGUCGCGGGGCAUCAUGGAGGUCGCUUGCAAUUUCUGAUGGCGACCGGCGCACGGGUGAGUAACGCGUAUCCAACCUUCCCAUUACUACGGCAUACCCCGUUGAAAGGCGGCCUAAUUCCGUAUGCAGUCCGAAGCAGUCAUCUAAUUUGGACGAAAGGUAUAUUCUAUCGGUAAUGGAUGGGGAUGCGUCCGAUUAGCCAGCCGGCGGGGUAACGGCCCACCGGGGCAUUGAUCGGUAGGGGUUCUGAGAGGAAGGUCCCCCACACUGGAACUGAGACACGGUCCAGACUCCUACGGGAGGCAGCAGUGAGGAAUAUUGGUCAAUGGGCGUAAGCCUGAACCAGCCAAGUAGCGUGCAGGAUGACGGCCCUAUGGGUUGUAAACUGCUUUUAUGCGGGGAUAAAGUUGGGGACGUGUCCCUUUUGCA
rnacentral:rRNA from 1 species